UACGGGGGGGGCAAGCGUUGUUCGGAAUCACUGGGCGUAAAGGGUGCGUAGGCGGGUCUUUAAGUCAGGGGUGAAAUCCUGGAGCUCAACUCCAGAACUGCCUUUGAUACUGAAGAUCUUGAGUUCGGGAGAGGUGAGUGGAACUGCGAGUGUAGAGGUGAAAUUCGUAGAUAUUCGCAAGAACACCAGUGGCGAAGGCGGCUCACUGGCCCGGUACUGACGCUGAGGUGCGAAAGCGUGGGGAGCAAACAGG
rnacentral:rRNA from 1 species